AUUGAACGCUGGCGGCAGGCUUAACACAUGCAAGUCGAGCGGGGUGAUGGUGCUUGCACUAUCACUUAGCGGCGGACGGGUGAGUAAUGCUUAGGAAUCUGCCUAUUAGUGGGGGACAACAUCUCGAAAGGGAUGCUAAUACCGCAUACGUCCUACGGGAGAAAGCAGGGGAUCACUUGUGACCUUGCGCUAAUAGAUGAGCCUAAGUCGGAUUAGCUAGUUGGUGGGGUAAGGCCUACCAAGGCGACGAUCUGUAGCGGGUCUGAGAGGAUGAUCCGCCACACUGGGACUGAGACACGGCCCAGGCUCCUACGGGAGGCAGCAGUGGGGAAUAUUGGACAAUGGGGGGAACCCUGAUCCAGCCAUGCCGCGUGUGUGAAGAAGGCCUUAUGGUUGUAAAGCACUUUAAGCGAGGAGGAGGCUCUUUUGGUUAAUACCCAAGAUGAGUGGACGUUACUCGCAGAAUAAGCACCGGCUAACUCUGUGCCAGCAGCCGCGGUAA
rnacentral:rRNA from 1 species